rnacentral:rRNA from 1 species
AUGAACGCUAGCUACAGGCUUAACACAUGCAAGUCGAGGGGCAGCAUGGUCUUAGCUUGCUAAGGCCGAUGGCGACCGGCGCACGGGUGAGUAACACGUAUCCAACCUGCCGUCUACUCUUGGACAGCCUUCUGAAAGGAAGAUUAAUACAAGAUGGCAUCAUGAGUCCACAUGUUCACAUGAUUAAAGGUAUUCCGGUAGACGAUGGGGAUGCGUUCCAUUAGAUAGUAGGCGGGGUAACGGCCCACCUAGUCUUCGAUGGAUAGGGGUUCUGAGAGGAAGGUCCCCCACAUUGGAACUGAGACACGGUCCAAACUCCUACGGGAGGCAGCAGUGAGGAAUAUUGGUCAAUGGGCGAGAGCCUGAACCAGCCAAGUAGCGUGAAGGAUGACUGCCCUAUGGGUUGUAAACUUCUUUUAUAAAGGAAUAAAGUCGGGUAUGCAUACCCGUUUGCAUGUACUUUAUGAAUAAGGAUCGGCUAACUCCGUGCCAGCAGCCGCGGUAAUACGGAGGAUCCGAGCGUUAUCCGGAUUUAUUGGGUUUAAAGGGAGCGUAGAUGGAUGUUUAAGUCAGUUGUGAAAGUUUGCGGCUCAACCGUAAAAUUGCAGUUGAUACUGGAUAUCUUGAGUGCAGUUGAGGCAGGCGGAAUUCGUGGUGUAGCGGUGAAAUGCUUAGAUAUCACGAAGAACUCCGAUUGCGAAGGCAGCCUGCUAAGCUGCAACUGACAUUGAGGCUCGAAAGUGUGGGUAUCAAACAGGAUUAGAUACCCUGGUAGUCCACACGGUAAACGAUGAAUACUCGCUGUUUGCGAUAUACAGCAAGCGGCCAAGCGAAAGCGUUAAGUAUUCCACCUGGGGAGUACGCCGGCAACGGUGAAACUCAAAGGAAUUGACGGGGGCCCGCACAAGCGGUGGAGCAUGUGGUUUAAUUCGAUGCAACGCGAAGAACCUUACCUGGCCUUGACAUACUAGAAACUUUCCAGAGAUGGAUUGGUGCCUUCGGGAAUCUAGAUACAGGUGCUGCAUGGCUGUCGUCAGCUCGUGUCGUGAGAUGUUGGGUUAAGUCCCGCAACGAGCGCAACCCUUGUUGUCAGUUACUAACAGGUUCUGCUGAGGACUCUGACAAGACUGCCAUCGUAAGAUGUGAGGAAGGUGGGGAUGACGUCAAAUCAGCACGGCCCUUACGUCCGGGGCUACACACGUGUUACAAUGGGGGGUACAGAGGGCCGCUACCACGCGAGUGGAUGCCAAUCCCCAAAACCUCUCUCAGUUCGGACUGGAGUCUGCAACCCGACUCCACGAAGCUGGAUUCGCUAGUAAUCGCGCAUCAGCCACGGCGCGGUGAAUACGUUCCCGGGCCUUGUACACACCGCCCGUCAAGCCAUGGGAGCCGGGGGUACCUGAAGUGCGUAACCGCGAGGAGCGCCCUAGGGUAAAACUGGUGACUGGGGCU